rnacentral:rRNA from 1 species
GACGAACCGUGCGAACGUUGUUCGGAAUCACUGGGCUUAAAGGGCGCGUAGGCGGGCUGACAAGUCUGGGGUGAAAUGCCGCGGCUCAACCGUGGAACUGCCUCAGAUACUGUCGGCCUCGAGGGAGGUAGGGGCGUGCGGAACUGUAGGUGGAGCGGUGAAAUGCGUUGAUAUCUACAGGAACGCCGGUGGCGAAAGCGACGUACUGGACCUCUUCUGACGCUGAGGCGCGAAAGCUAGGGGAGCAAACGGG